rnacentral:rRNA from 1 species
UACGGAGGGUGCAAGCGUUAUCCGGAUUUACUGGGUUUAAAGGGUGCGUAGGUGGGCAGGUAAGUCAGUGGUGAAAUCUCCGGGCUUAACCCGGAAACUGCCAUUGAUACUAUCUGUCUUGAAUAUCCUGGAGGUAAGCGGAAUAUGUCAUGUAGCGGUGAAAUGCUUAGAUAUGACAUAGAACACCCAUUGCGAAGGCAGCUUACUACGGGAUUAUUGACACUGAGGCACGAAGCGUGGGGAUCAAACAGG